AGAGACCGUUCCGUGUGUGAUAGAAAGGCAGUGAAACUGUGAAACCUCUUUAACGAUACAGUACGUAAAUUCACAAAAAAUAAUACAAAAGUUAACGUGCGGUGUGUGUCCUCUUGUGUGCGUGUGUUGGAGCGUUUGUCCAUUAUCGAAGCCGUUGAAAUAAUACGUAGAGCAUAAGCAGCCGGAAAAAUGUCGCAACAAUUACCCAUACGUUUUCAGGAGCAUUUACAGCUCACCAACAUCAACAUCAACCCGAGCUCGAUCUCCUUCACCAACCUAACGAUGGAGUCGGACAAGUUUAUCUGCGUGCGCGAGAAGGUGGGUGAAACGGCGCAGGUGGUGAUCAUCGACAUGAACGAUGCACAGAAUCCGAUCCGGCGACCGAUCAGCGCCGACUCGGCGAUCAUGAACCCGGCCAGCAAGGUGAUCGCACUGAAGGCGCAGAAGACGCUGCAGAUCUUCAACAUCGAGAUGAAAUCGAAGAUGAAGGCGCACACGAUGACCGAGGAGGUGGUGUUCUGGAAGUGGAUCACGCUCAACACGCUGUCUCUGGUGACGGAGACAUACGUGUACCACUGGUCCAUGGAGGGCGACUCGACGCCGAUCAAGAUGUUCGAGCGACACUCGUCGCUGAACGGGUGCCAAAUCAUCAACUAUCGCACCGAUCCGAAGCAAGCUUGGUUGCUGCUAGUUGGUAUUUCGGCGCAGCAGAAUCGUGUGAUCGGCGCUAUGCAGCUGUACUCGGUCGAGCGCAAGGUUUCGCAGGCGAUCGAGGGUCACGCGGCCUCGUUCGCGACGUUCAAGAUGGAGGAGAACAAGGAACUGUCGACACUGUUCUGCUUUGCGGUGCGCUCGCAAGCCGCAGCCAAGCUGCACAUCAUCGAGGUGGGAACGCCGCCGGCCGGGAACGUGGCGUUCACUAAGAAGGCAGUCGAUGUGUUUUUCCCUCCGGAAGCGCAGAGCGACUUUCCGGUUGCGAUGCAGGUGUCGCCGCGGUACGACGUGAUCUAUCUGAUCACCAAGUACGGUUACAUCCACAUGUACGACAUCGAGACGGCCACCUGCAUCUACAUGAACCGCAUCUCGGCCGACACGAUCUUCGUGACGGCACCGCACGAAUCGAGCGGUGGUAUUAUUGGUGUGAAUCGCAAGGGCCAAGUGCUGUCGGUGACGGUGGACGAGGAGCAGAUUAUACCGUACAUCAACACGGUGCUCCAGAAUCCCGACCUUGCGCUGCGUAUGGCCGUGCGCAACAAUCUGUCCGGUGCUGAGGAUCUGUUUGUGCGCAAGUUUAAUCACCUAUUCCAGAGCGCCCAGUACGCCGAAGCAGCAAAGGUAGCCGCCAUCGCGCCGAAAGGAAUUUUGCGCACCCCGCAAACGAUCCAGCAGUUCCAGCAGGUCCCGGCUCAACCGGGCACCAACUCGCCACCUCUGCUGCAGUACUUUGGCAUCCUGCUCGACCAGGGCAAGCUGAACAAGUACGAAUCACUCGAACUGUGCCGGCCGGUAUUGGCACAGGGCCGUAAGCAGCUGUGCGAGAAGUGGCUUAAAGAGGAGAAACUGGAAUGCAGCGAAGAGCUGGGUGAUUUGGUGAAACCGUCCGAUCCGACCCUUGCCCUCUCGAUUUACCUGCGCUCGAACGUGCCGAACAAGGUGAUCCAGUGCUUCGCCGAGACGGGCCAGUUCCAGAAGAUAGUGCUGUACGCGAAAAAGGUAAACUACAGCCCGGAUUACGUGUUCUUGUUGCGCUCGGUGAUGCGCACCAACCCAGAGCAGGGUUCCGGCUUCGCCAGUAUGCUGGUAGCGGACGAGGAACCGCUCGCCGACAUCAAUCAGAUCGUGGACAUUUUCAUGGAGCAGAACAUGGUCCAGCAGUGUACGGCUUUCCUGCUCGAUGCGUUGAAAAACAAUCGCCCUGCCGAGGGAGCGCUGCAAACGCGUCUGCUCGAGAUGAACCUCAUGUCGGCACCGCAGGUCGCUGAUGCAAUCCUCGGGAACGCCAUGUUCACGCACUACGAUCGCGCCCACAUUGCUCAGCUGUGCGAGAAGGCCGGUCUGCUGCAGCGUGCCCUGGAACACUACACCGAUCUGUACGAUAUUAAGCGGGCAGUCGUCCACACGCAGCUCUUGAACGGUGACUGGUUGGUCGGAUUCUUCGGUACACUCUCCGUGGAAGAUUCGCUCGAGUGUCUGAAAGCGAUGCUGACGGCGAACAUACGGCAAAAUUUGCAGAUUUGCGUCCAGAUCGCGACCAAGUACCAUGAGCAGCUGACGACGAAGGCACUGAUCGAUCUGUUCGAAAGCUUCAAGAGCUACGAGGGACUGUUUUACUUCCUUGGAUCGAUCGUUAACUUUAGCCAGGAUCCGGAAGUUCACUUCAAGUACAUCCAGGCCGCGUGUAAGACCAAUCAGAUUAAGGAGGUUGAGCGGAUCUGCCGCGAGUCGAACUGCUACAAUGCGGAGCGCGUGAAGAACUUCCUGAAGGAGGCAAAGCUAACCGAUCAGCUACCGUUGAUCAUCGUUUGCGAUCGGUUCGACUUUGUGCACGAUCUCGUGCUGUACCUGUACCGUAACAGCCUGCAGAAGUACAUUGAGAUCUACGUGCAAAAGGUGAACCCCUCGCGGUUGCCGGUCGUUGUCGGUGGUCUGCUCGACGUCGACUGCUCUGAGGACAUCAUCAAGAAUUUGAUCCUCGUAGUGAAGGGCCAGUUCUCGACGGACGAGCUGGUUGAGGAGGUGGAGAAGCGCAAUCGCUUGAAGCUGCUCCUUCCGUGGCUGGAGUCGCGUGUGCACGAAGGUUGCGUCGAGCCGGCGACCCACAACGCGCUGGCAAAGAUCUACAUCGAUUCGAACAACAAUCCGGAACGAUUCCUGAAAGAAAACCAGUUCUACGACAGUCGCGUCGUGGGGCGCUACUGCGAGAAGCGUGAUCCGCACCUGGCGUGCGUUGCGUACGAACGUGGCCAGUGCGAUCGCGAGUUGAUCGCCGUUUGCAACGAGAACUCACUGUUCAAAUCCGAAGCACGCUACCUGGUGCGUAGACGCGAUGCCGAGCUGUGGGCCGAAGUGCUGUCCGAAGCCAAUCCCUACAAGCGCCAGCUGAUCGAUCAGGUCGUACAAACGGCCCUCUCGGAGACGCAGGAUCCGGACGAUAUCUCGGUCACCGUGAAAGCUUUCAUGACCGCCGAUUUGCCGAACGAGUUGAUUGAGUUGCUCGAGAAGAUUGUGCUCGAUUCGUCCGUUUUCUCCGACCACCGCAACCUGCAGAAUCUGCUCAUCCUGACGGCCAUCAAGGCGGACAGGACGCGCGUGAUGGAUUACAUCAACCGCUUGGACAACUACGAUGCGCCGGACAUUGCGAACAUUGCAAUCAACAACGAGCUGUACGAGGAAGCGUUCGCGAUCUUCAAAAAGUUCGAUGUCAACACGUCCGCGAUCCAGGUGCUGAUCGAGCAGGUGAACAACCUGGAGCGGGCGAACGAGUUUGCGGAGCGGUGCAACGAACCGGCAGUCUGGUCACAGUUGGCCCGCGCCCAGCUGCAGCAGGGCCUGGUGAAGGAGGCGAUCGAUAGCUACAUCAAGGCCGACGAUCCGUCGGCGUACAUCGACGUCGUGGAAACGGCCAGCCGUAACGACUCGUGGGAAGACCUGGUGCGCUACCUACAGAUGGCCCGUAAGAAGGCACGCGAAAGCUACAUCGAGAGUGAGUUGAUUUAUGCGUACGCACGCACGGGCCGCUUGGCCGAUUUGGAGGAGUUCGUUUCCGGACCGAACCACGCCGACAUUCAGAAGAUCGGCGACCGCUGCUUUAACGAUCGCAUGUACGAGGCUGCCAAGCUGCUGUACAACAACGUGAGCAACUUUGCCCGUCUCGCCAUCACGCUGGUGCACCUGCGCGAGUUCCAGGGUGCGGUGGAUGGAGCGCGGAAGGCUAACUCGACUCGCACCUGGAAGGAAGUGUGCUUCGCAUGUGUCGAUGCGGAAGAGUUCCGUUUGGCGCAGAUGUGUGGACUGCACAUCGUGGUGCACGCGGACGAGCUGGAGGAUCUGAUCAACUACUAUCAGGAUCGAGGGUACUUCGAGGAGCUGAUUGGGUUGCUGGAAGCGGCGCUGGGGCUGGAGCGCGCCCACAUGGGCAUGUUCACGGAGCUGGCGAUCCUAUACUCGAAGUACAAACCGGCCAAGAUGCGCGAGCACCUCGAGCUGUUCUGGUCGCGCGUCAACAUCCCGAAGGUGCUGCGAGCGGCCGAGCAAGCCCACCUCUGGUCCGAGCUGGUCUUCCUGUACGACAAGUACGAGGAGUACGACAACGCUGUGCUGGCCAUGAUGGCCCACCCGUCGGAAGCGUGGCGCGAGGGACACUUUAAGGACAUCAUCACGAAGGUGGCCAACAUCGAACUGUACUACAAGGCGAUCCAGUUCUAUCUCGACUACAAGCCGCUCCUGCUGAACGAUAUGCUGCUGGUGCUGGCGCCGCGCAUGGACCACACACGGGCCGUGAGCUUUUUCACCAAACAGGGCCACCUGCAGCUCGUCAAAACGUAUCUCCGGUCGGUGCAGAGCCUCAACAAUAAGGCUAUCAACGAGGCACUGAAUGGCCUUUUGAUCGACGAAGAGGACUACCAGGGCCUGCGGACGUCGAUAGACGCGUUCGACAACUUUGACAACAUUGCGCUGGCACAGAAGCUCGAGAAGCAUGAGCUGACCGAGUUCCGUCGCAUCGCUGCCUAUCUUUACAAAGGAAACAAUCGCUGGAAACAGAGUGUGGAAUUGUGCAAGAAAGACCGCCUGUUCAAGGACGCGAUGGAGUACGCCGCGGAAUCGCACCAGGGCGAGCUGGCGGAGGAGCUGCUCGGAUGGUUCCUGGAGCGUGGCGCCUACGACUGCUUUGCGGCUUGUCUAUUCCAGUGUUAUGACUUGCUGCGGCCCGACGUUAUACUAGAACUCGCAUGGCGCCACAAUAUAAUGGACUUUGCAAUGCCCUACAUCAUUCAGGUCACGAGAGAGUACACCUCGAAGGUGGACAAACUCGAAGCGUCCGACGCGGAGCGGCAGAAGGAGGGCGACAGCACCGAGCACAAGUCGAUCAUUAUGCCCGAACCGCAGCUGAUGCUGACGGCCGGCCCCGGUAUCGGCAUGCCACAGUACGCCCCCCAAUACGCCGGUGCAUACGUACCACCGCAACCAAAUAUGACCCCAUACCAGUACGGUGGUAUGUAAACGAGAUAAUACCCCGAAUGCUAUAGAUAGUGAGCGAGAGAGAGACGAAGAGAGAGUGAAGGAAGGAACGAGGAAAGAAGGAAGAAAAAAUCACGUAACCCCGACGAUGCCAGCAAACGGGCGAGAUAGCAAAAACAUUUUGACCACCUCUUUCGAAACCCAUCUCUUCCGGUAUCCGAUACGGGGAGCGUUGGCAUAGUACGCAUCGAUUGAAACGACGGAACACAAACAACACCAUCACCACGGCGGCCACAUCAGCAGAGCCACACUCUACUCACAUGGCCACAGCGUGUAGUGUGUAGGAAUCAUCCACCCGAUCGUGUCAUCUAAUACAUCUAAUCACUCUGAUUCUCAAGAAGAUCUUUGUUUGAUUUUAUUCAGCCAACAAACACUAUCUAUCUACCUACCUCCUGUUCUGUAUAUCAGAAACCGCUAAUAAUUACGUACGUUAGUUAACCGUCCGCACCACCGGUCCUCGAAUUUGGCAAUGCUCUUCUUUUUCCUACAAAACUCUGUUCCGAGCUAUCGUCGUCGUCCUUCUGUGCUGGGUGUACUUUCGUGUUUUUUCGCACUCCUUUCCUCGUGUGCGUAUGUGUGUGUUUGUGUGGUGCCUGCGGCUGCAAUACGAAUCAUCAUCAGCAUUUAGUUAAUUCACGCCCAAAUGAGGUUUUAAUUAAUAGCGCCCAACAAAUCGGCGAUCGAUUCGAAAUCCAACUCAUUAUUAAUGUCGCAGAAGCGCGAAUCGUAGGCAUAUUAGGGCACAGUAGGCCAAACGUGCGCACACCAGGUGCGAAUUCGUUUUUUUGUGGUUCCGUGUCAACGGCGGCAGGCACAGUAACGCACGGGAUAGAGGCGCGAUUGUUGGUCGCUACCAAGGGGAACAAAAGCAAAGAACUCACGAAACGGUUGUUCUCGUUAGCCAAACACUAAAAUAGCGCAACUCGUGAAUGAUUCGAACAAUGUUAUCAUUUCUCUUGCUGUUCUCUAAGAAAAUGAAAAAAUAGAUGCAAAUGAAAAGAUUAUAUAAUUAUAUAAUAUAUAUAGAAAUACAUUCUCACACACACCCACAAAUAUACAUAUGGAGCACUAUACAUGCACGAGGAGGCGAAACAAUAGACGGGGACGAUGAGCGUCAUGUGUAAAUAGAUGGGAGAUUAAAUACUUUAACAGCGCCAACACCUUGUUAUCGGUAGUGAUGAAUUUGUUCUGCAAAAAAAUCAACGGAACCCCCCAGAGAAAGCUCCUAUCACACGGAAGUAACCACAAAGCAUACAAACCAGGCAUCCAGGCAGAAUUAAGUCGCCACUUGGCCGUCAUGUUAUAUAGACUUUCACUUCCAGUGGGAGAGCCAGAUGCUUGUUUUAAACACAAACUAUAGCGAAAUUGAUGGCCCGUAAAAAUUAUCACGACACACAUACUCGCGUGUCGAGUAGGAAGCAGCUUGCACUGGAUGUCGCGCAAGAUGAUCAGAAGAUAUAUUCGAUCUCCGAACGAAAAGCUAUCCCAAACUGAUCGCCCGGCAAACGUGCCUCGAUUGAACAGCUACAUUCAUCAUCUCUCACUCUACUGUGGCGGGGCAUUUGAGUUAAUUUGGCUUUUCGCACAUGCACCUUUCUGGACACACGAAACACAACAAAACCAUUCCCGCGAAGCGCUUGCUUCUCGCCCACACUUUCUUCCAACUAUGUUAUGUAGUGUAGUGAUGAUUCGUGCAAAGUUAUACAAAAUAGAGUAAAAGUAUUACGCUGGAGGAGGGAUUGACACAAGAUAUGAUGCAUAGGGAGUUGUGUUUGUUUUCAACAAAAUUCGCGCACAUGGGGCAUGUAGAGAUGAGUAACUGCUCGGGCGCGUGCGUGGACUUUCUUUGGCUUGUUAUUUAAGCAACGGAUGCCGACUAUUCAAAGCUCAGAAAUCGCUACGCAGCCAGUUGCUCCAAAAUACAACCGAAGAGACCAAAUAGUAGAGCGGGCCUGUUUUGUAAAAAGCUGUCUCGAGAGUUUGCUACCGAUGCCUUCUUUUCGUUCCGAUGUCCAGACGCGACAAGUAAACACACCUAACAGUUGUGUCAAUCAAAAUGGUUACCCUUUAUUGGGUCCUCCUAUGAGCGAUAGGAGAGCAAACAAAUUAUUUAUACAAUUAAAAUAAUCAAUCUUUAUUUUUAUAUUGUCAAAAUAUCACAGUUUCCUUUCCCCCAGGUAACGCAAGGAUUGAUCGACGGCGAAUGAUAGUAGUGUGACUCAAAGUAUAAUGAAAGUUUCUGACUUAGUUAAUAAAGAUACGUAUAUCGGAAUACCCUAAAAAAACACUACACCCAUCUCCGAGCGCUACUCUACUAUAUACACGCAAAACCACGAGAAAAGAAUGAAAAAUCAAUAAAACAAACGUUAAUUAACCUGAAUCGAUAUCAUUUAAAGUGAACAAAGUGUAAACACACCUAACGCUAACCGUGAGAUGAAAAUCAAUAAACUC